UGCAGUCAGUGUAAGAUCAUAUUUAACUAGAUAUAUAAAGCUGGUAUGCACACGAGUUGCAGCAGCAGCAGACAAAGAGAAUGGAGCUAAGUUAUUGGGAUUUAAUAAAACAUUGGUGAUUUAAUUGAGUUGUAAAAUCAUUAAUAAACACUUGAUUAAAGCCAUCUGAUUUGAAUUUAAAUAUUCAAGUUAUGCAUUGAUUAGGAUAAGGGCUUGUCUGAAUAGAUAAGAAGUUAUGAGCAGUUUCCUUGAUGGAAGGAACUGCUGUAAACUGCAAAACAGUUAUAAAACUGUUUAUCAGAUUUGUUGAUUCCCCUGCAAGAACAUAAACGUUUCUCUAUAAAUACAUUCCCAUCAAUGCAAAGAGAACUUAUCGUAUGGAUCUUGGAGAAGGAAUGGACAACACCAACCAAACUGAAUGAUGCUAUUCAAAGAUCUGUAAAACAAGCACACUAUCCAACUGUGGCACCAGGACUCAUUCAAGGGAAAGCAUAUGAGAUCAGAUACUUGGAGUUUCCACUUUUGUAAUAUAUAUACAAACCUGGUAAAAACAACAGCUUUUGAAAUAUAUAAAUGUACAAUAAUUGUAUAAAACUUUAGUAAGCAAACAAACUGCAGCAUCGCGCGGGACUUUUUUUCUAGUUAUAAACAAUCUAGAGAUUUGACAGAUGGAAGUGCUGGUGUUCGAAGUUUUACUGCAGUUAUUUUAUUCGAUCAUGUUGGAUUCAUGUUGAAUCACACUCAUAUUGUAAUCGACAUGAUUCCCUAAAUAUAGAUCUAAUUAAAGUUCAAAUUAAGCUAAAGAUCGAUGGAAGUCGAACUUAUUUACUCCCACACAGCUUUUGAUCCUUGAAGUCGUCAAUGCUGAGAUAUGUCAGCAAAGUAGAGAAAUGCCAUUCAAUAUGUUUGCAAAAUAAAUUUAGCAAGAUUUAGUUAAUAACUCCCGAGUCUUUUGACUCUUUUCACUUUUUUUGUUACAAAUUUCAUGACAAUUUUACCAUUUGAAUUCAAAGUUUUCAUUUGAGCCCAAUUUUAUCUACCUAUCUUUUCAUUGACUUGUUUAAUUCCACUCUUUGGUAAAAGUUCAUUUACUCAUCCCAACUUGAAUUACUUGGCAAUUGGCAUCUAUUGCCCCAACAAAAUUAUUUGAAUUAUUUAGUUUUCCUAAUCAGAAAGAUUAACAAAUUGUGAAAACCAAACAGUCGGGAAAGGCUUGGUCUUGGUUUUUGCUUGACUUUUAGUUUUAGCCGUCUAUUAUAAAUCUAAAGGUGUAUGAGCAAAGAAACAGCAAAUUCAGUACUCUUUAAGUUGGAGCGUAUCAGAAAAUUCCUAAGAAUGUAUAUUUUCUGAAAUCUGAAGUUGUUGAGCAUCAAGAAUGCAUGAUAUACCUCUCUCACAAGGAAUUAAUUUGAAUUGGGUUGGUAGAAAUAGGGUCAUGCAAUGUAUAUGCUUUGCUUUUGAGUAGGGUUUGUAAUGUCUGCGUGUAUCAGAGAAUUCAGAAACUACCGCAUCUGACACUCAAUAUGCAUAUCAUUUCAGUGCACAACAGAUUGGUCAGAUUCAAUGAUUCAUGACCUGGGAAGGACCUCACUUUAAAAGUAGGAGAAACCAAAGCUUUUAUUAGUUACACCAAUACACACACGUGCACAUUUAUGACAUAUCAUAUCACACUAGAGAAAAAUUGUUAUAUUAGUAGUUUGAUUUACAAUAUUACAAUUUCUCAGAACCCCAUUGACCCCAAAGAUCAUAGAGGAUUAAGUCCAAAUAGAGUAAUUAUGUAUAAUUAAGAAGAUUAUGAUAUGUGAUUAUAUAUGUUUAUUACCUUGGAGGAAGGAUCCUGGGCUUCAACAAAUGCUCUCAUGAGACGAGUUUUGGUCAGCUCGACUAAUUCGAUCAUUGCUGUUUUUCAGAGACAAUGGCAGAAUUAAUGUAUAAGAUCUGUGAUAAACAGAGAUGAAGCUAACUAGAAGAGAGCUCAGGAAUGCUGAUGGAUUGGCAAUUGAAAUCGAAAAGUGCAGAUUAAAUAGGACUUGUCCAAAAAGGCUGGAGUCUUUUGAGGCGACCUUUCUCCACUCAAUUAAAUUCUUCUCUGUCAUUUUGCUCCCCAUCAAUUUCAUUUCAAGGGGAGUUGAUGAGCUUCAUUUAAUGGCAUGUAUCCAUCCCAAGCUCGCUGUACUGCACAUAAUUUAGGCCUAUUGUUUGUCACUAUAUUAUUCUUUUUGUGAUCAACUUUAUUGAACCACAAAAUCUAUUUGUUAUUACCUUAGAACUGUUCCGACUCCAACCAAAUUAAAUGUCGGUAAAGGGUGUCAAAUUUUCAAUUACUUAUCUGUAACGUUUCAUAACUUCUCUGGACUAGUCAAGUAGCAUCGUUGUCUUAAUGUAAUAGACUUAUAGCUCUGCCAUUCUCUUGGGUCCUUCUUUCUUCUCAAGAUUGUUAUUAUUAUGCUUUAUAUGAGUGAUACCAUAUAUUAUACUA